AUGCACCGGAAAGGACCUGCAGUGCUGGAGGCCACACCAGGAGGGGAUGCUGCACACACAGGAGCUUUAAUGCUGUCACGGGCUGGGGUACAUACGUAACCUCCUGGGAUGGAUGGAGCUCUGCUGCAAAAGCUGCUAAGCUCCUUUCCUGGGAGGUUUGGGCCUUUUUUGGGGAGUGAUGAGAUGGAGGAGCGGGAGCCUGUCGCUCUGAGAUGUCACUGUGUCUCCUCCUAUGUUCCGGAGAGUUCUCAGCUGCUUCCCUUCCCACUAGAUCGUGUCCUGAUGCUGUUGUCCUCUAACCCUGUACUAAUGCUGGCUUCUCUCCUCUGCAGAAAGCAGGCCAGGUCACCAUAAGUCCCUCGACAAUAGUGUGAGCCCCUCUGCACACGUAUACCGCCUAAGGAAGUGGAGUUGUUGUUUGAUUGCCAUUUCAAACUCACUGAAGACCCCAGGCCUCUGACCAGCAGAAGGAGACAGUCUUCACCUACGAAGAUUUUUUGGGUUGUUUUGUUUUGUUUUUUUUUUUUUUUUUACGCAUAAUCAGGCUCUUUCAAACAGUCCAAAACCUGACCUCUGGCUGGGGGGAAGUGCCAAGGGGGUUUCUGUCGGCUACGCGUAACGGCUUUGGUGUUGGAUGGGACCUUGGGCAUUCAAAACUUGUUAGCCCUAUAUUUAUGAGUAAUAAGUAACAUAGCAGUUUGAAAAACAAAAUAUUAUUUUUAAAGCUAUGAGCUGUACAGAUUUUUGUUACAAGUGACUCUGUUACUGUUUGUUCUGUAAGCUGCACAUUUUAUAAAGUUUUUUGGAAGGGCACGAAGAGAAACUGAGGUAUUUAAGAAAAGUAGUGUAACUUUCUGUUUCGGAGUUAUAUUGACCUGGAGCUCAAGAUUUAACGUCCUUCCCUAUGUUCUAAAUAUGUCUAUCAUAACAAUAAUUUAUUUUCUCGGCUUAACACUUCUGUUUUAAUAAAAGCAAUUUCAUUGUUACAG